GGGUGUUCGCCAGUCGUGGCGGGCAGGGUGCAGCGCUGGUCGGGCCGCCGGCG
rnacentral:ncRNA from 1 species